AAAGAGUUCUAUACUCAAAACCCACUGCGUACAUACAUGUUGUUGCUUCGGCAGGCGGCUUUCAGAGCCUUCAGCCCCCCGCGGGCGCCUGCCGGAGACCCAAAACUAUUCUGUUUUUAUACCGUGCUCUUCUGAGUUUGUUACAAAUACAAGUAA
rnacentral:misc_RNA from 1 species